rnacentral:rRNA from 1 species
AUCUAUGGCCAUGCUACCCUGAACAAGCCUGAUCCCAUCUGAUUUCGGAAGCUAAGCAGGAUCGGGCCUGGUUAGUACUUGAAUGCGAGCCCACCUAGCCAGGUGCUGUAGGCA